CAUUAAAACUAAAGCAAAAGAAAGAAAAGAUUCGCUCCUUGCACGGGUUUGCAAACUGUCAAGCUUUGGUUUGAUCUUCUGACAUUAAGAGAGCCCUUGUCCUGCAUCCCACCCCUAGCUGGACUGUGAGUGACUCAAUGCUGCCUGAAGAUAUGUACAGACCACAGCAAAUAUGGUCUUGCAUGACUGAAGCCUUUUUGAGGAGCUUGGUGCUUCCCAUACUUCAGCCCGCCUGUGCUCUUUGUCAUUACCAGUUCCUGGCUGAAUGCAGCCCAUGACAUUUUGGGUUGAAUUGAGCAAGAACAAUAGACUACAGCUGCAUUUCCAGGCACUUUACUGUAUUCAGCCUCCGUCUCUACAGGAUUCUCCCAGUGCUAAUUAACUGUGCUUAUGAGCCGGAACGCUUUCCUAAUGAAGAAGCCAUGGGCUUUGUGAAAGUACCUCAGAAGGCAUGGAAAGAACGGCCUCUAGCUGAGCCAAAACCAGCACAUCUCCUCCUGUUGGCUGGAUGGGGAGAGAACUGUGCUAUUUAACAGCCUUUUGGAAUGCUGCUGCUGCUGUGCAAUUAAAAGAAAGCCUUCAAGCAGUGAGAACAUCCGUGGUCAGCCGUGGCAGAAGCAAGGGGGUGAGAACCUUGCUGUGGCCAUGAAGCUGAGAGUAUGCCAGGAGGAAAGGCACUUCCCAGGAGCCUACUGAAGCAGCAUCAUCCCCAGCUCCCAACAUCAUCCUCCAAUCUUGCUUGAAAAUACACCAUAUUCAAGAAAAAAAAGAAAAAUGUCCGAGCACAGAAUGAGAGGAAAAUGUGGCAGCGAAAAGCCAGUAGGAAGAUGUGGUGUUAGUAUAAUUGGAGAUGCAUGAGAGUGCCUUCAAAUGGAGAAGACUUUAAAUGGAGAGGAAGGAUUUGUCCUUUCUGGUAAAAGGCAAAAUGGGACAAGUGAGUUAAUUUUCUGCUUCUGUGCUAUCAGUAAAUGAGAUGGGUCUGUAUUUCCAUCCCUUCUUUUCCAGGCAGAGUCAAGCAUAAAAUGGCAUCAUGCACUUUGGUGCUUUCACAUUCUACAACAUAAUAGCCAAAAAAUGUCACUAGGAAGAAAUCAUCUAAUUCACACUCUUUUCUUACUUUUUAUGCAUUUUAGAUGAAAGUUCCCUUCUUGGACUGUCUUUACAGUAUUAAUACAAAAACAAAUAAUGGGAAAGAGAGAACAGAAAUGGACUUUCAUUUGGAGAAAUU